AUGACUUGAUUUGAUCAUGUUGAUUUCAUCAAUUGAGAUAUUGGACCAAUCGUAAUGUUGGAUUGUAUCACCUGAUCAAUUCAAAUUGUACCUCAUGAAUUCUCUCUCCUCUGAUUUUCUCUCUCCACUUGAUUUUAUGAAAUCGAUGAAGAAACUUUGGUCCUAUCACUUCUUAUCUGAUUUGAUCUGAUAGUCAAACUUUGGAUCGUUUAGGUCCUAAUUAGAUUUUGAUUAGAUGAAAUUAGAUGAUCGAACCCAAUCUAAACCGUUGAAAUAUGGUAUUCGUAUUCUUUCUAAUUAUUGAAAUUGAUUCUAUAUAGGAUUGUGGA
rnacentral:lncRNA from 1 species